GACGAACGCUGGCGGCGUGCUUAACACAUGCAAGUCGAACGGACAGGCCCUGCUUUUGUUGGUUGCUCGAGUGGCGAACGGGUGAGUAACACGUGAGUAACCUGCCCUUGACUUUGGGAUAACUUCACGAAACUGGGGCUAUUACCGGAUAUGAGCUCCUGCUGCACGUUGGUGGUUGGAAAGUUUCGGCGGUUGGGGAUGGACUCGCGGCUUAUCAGCUUGUUGGUGGGGUAGUGGCUUACCAAGGCUUUGAGGGGUAGCCGGCCUGAGAGGGUGACCGGCCACAUUGGGACUGAGAGAAGGCCCAGACUCAUACGGGAGGCAGAAGUGGGGAAUAUUGAAGAAUGGGCGGAAGCCGGAUGCAGCAACGCCGCGGGCGGGAUGACGGCCUUAGGGUUGUAAACCGCUUGCGCCUGUGACGAAGCGUGAGUGAAGGUAAUGGGUAAAGAAGCACCGGCUAACUACGUG
rnacentral:rRNA from 1 species